CUAUCGGCAGUGUGCUGUGUCAGGCUUCUGCCCAUGCUGUGCUUGCAACAAUUGCAACAACAUCGUUCUGGAUACAGAUAUCAUCAAUCAUUCAUGUAGCCAGGAAAGAGAAGUCUAGCUCCUUGGAACAAUAAGAAAUCAAUAUUAAACUCAGCAGAUUAAAGCCUGGACAGUUAAGGAAUAGAUACAUUACAUUAACCAAGUUAGUGAGUCUGAAUUUAUGGGGCUAAACUGGUGUCCUGAACAUGCUUUGAGAUUGCAGAAGUGAUAUGCCCAAUCAUGCCACUUGAGGGAGAGCCUUGUUAGGCAUCGCACUAAAAGGAUGUACAAAUGUGUGUUUUCUGUGUGUUGGCACGCAUUGUGGUAGCCGCCAAUUGAAUAGGCUAAGCUAACCCACUUGACUCUAUUGGUGGCAUCUCUGGCUGAUGGGUGAAGGUGCACUGACUGCAUAAUAAAGAAUGAACUUGCCCUGGCAUCAUUUCCAGGCCUCUUGUGGGCAGAGGAACUGCUGACCUGUGAAAUCCAAUCUUACCAGCAUGUUAAAAACUUCCAUUGAUCCUGGAUUGACAAUGCAGCCAUACAUAAUCUUAUCUCCAAGAGAUCUAUGUAAAAAUCUGACUUUAAAAACACAGAAAGGAAAGAGAAAAUUCCAGGAAAAGAUGUGGAAAUGGUGAGUGAAGAAAAGGCGGUACCCUGAAAGCCUGAAAGAAAAGCAGGGAAUGAAACAGCAGAGGGUUGCUUUUCAUAAUUGUACUGAUUUCUCUUUGGAAGCCACACCAUAGCUAGGUAUUGAAAACCCAUGAUUGGGACCAGUUUCUGCCCUUUCCUGUUAGUUAAAUGCUAUUGACAGGUUAGCAAUGGAGGUAAACUAUAGCUCAGUAUUUGUGUAAACAAGAUAACCAAAUGUCAUGGUAUAUACGGUGGACCUGAUCCCAAACUCACUGAAGUCAAUGAAAAUCUUUAACUGCAAUGGGUUUUAGAUCAUGCACCAUGACAUUGGUUUAUUCUCUGUUAAUGCUCUUAUUAGAGUUACCCAGUUUAGGACUUGAGGAUUGUCCUUACUGAUUUUGUUAAUAGCUAACAGAAAAACCUUCCCUUGCUUGUGCUUUUUAAAAACCCUUUUGUCACAUUUCAUUGUUUCACUUUUAUAAGACGAUACCAAAUCAAUCCUAGUUGAGGGGGAAAUAUUUAAGAAAUCAUAAAAAAUAUGAGUGGUCCAAGUUUCUGAACACAUCUUCCCCACUAAGUUAAAUUCUCUUUCCAGCUAGCAUCUGGCAUGUCAGCAUAAGUCUUCAGUGUUGCUGCCUUAUCCCAGUGCACUUGACACCCACCUGAAACUAGUUGCUCAUCCACAAGCAGGCAGAGUUCUUCAGUUCUGUUUUCUAGGUCAAAAUGCUGUUUAUUUGAGUUCAGUGCUGUUUGUAUACGUGAUGCAGUUUAGUGGGUUUUAUUACUCGUUCCAAUAAAGCCUUUAAAAUGUUUCA
rnacentral:lncRNA from 1 species